rnacentral:lncRNA from 1 species
UAGAGAAUAGGCCUCACUAUGUUGCCCAGGCUAGUCUUGAAUUCCUGGGCUCAAGCAAACCACCUGCCUUAGCCUCCCAAAGUGCUGUGAUUACACAUGUGAGCCACUGUGCCCAGCCUAGAGGUAAGUGUCUUCUAAUGGAAACAAAUAAAUAGCUAGUGCCCUUAUAAUUAUGCUGAAGUAAAAUAAGCCUGAGAGAGAAAAUAACCUAUCUGGAAUCAAAUUAUUACGUGCAGUGUGGACAGUGUGGAUAUAGAAUUUGAUUAAACAUUUAAAUGAGCAUUUAAGAAAAUAACUAAAAUGUAAUUUUGAAGGGAAUUUUAAACAACCUCAUAUUUCACUGGAAUUGUUAAUCCUCCUGUCUUCACAUUUUAAAGGCUGAAUUAUUAAACAUUAUAAUAAUAUCUUAGUCACCUUAAGUGUCAAAUAAAUUACUUAGAGAAGUGAUCUGAGACUUUCAGUGAAUCAUUAAAGACUCCUUUUUUUGUGACUUAGUCCCUUCUCUCUGGAACAAAAUAACAUAUAUUUUGAUACAACACAUUGUUAAAAUCAGAAAAAAAUUGUUUUAAGUUUCUUCAACUUUUGAAUAAAUUUUAUUUGAAGUAGUUUUUGAGUACAAAAACAUUAAGAAGAUAGUAGAGAGUUCCCAUAUACUACUCUACAAAGUUCUUUCCA